UCUCGCUCCGUCCUCGAGAAUACACAUCUAUAAACUUAUAUGAAGCUACAAUAUUUUUUGCCACGUGGCAUGUUUCACCUCCCCACUCCUCUAAUUAUAUGCAAGGUGCAAUAUUUAAUUAUAUACAACUUUAAAUCCAACUUUAAAUCAAACCACCUUCUCUUCUUCUCAACUUCCAAUCCUUCACCUUCCCACUCCUCUAAUUAUAUGCAAAGCGCAACAUUUAAUUGCAUGCACCAUAUUAAUAUUCUAUCAAUGAGUAUGUUUUAUAACUUUAAUCCACUCUCCUCCUCUAUUAAUUUCCCGCCCUUCUCUUUUGUAACUCUUUUGCAUGCAUCAUAAAAACAAUAUAUUAUCGUUUAAUCUCCCACUCCACACUCAUCUCUCUCUUUCUCUCACUGUGUUAGUGAAGAAGAAGAAAAAGAAGAAAAAGAAGAAGAGCCUCUGAAGAACAUUGUCUCUUUCGAGAAGUAUCAUCCUGCGAAGCCAAGCCGCGAUCCAUAUAAGUGCCAGCUAAACCAGUCCGUGCGGGAGCCUUUACUCGCUAUAUGAAUUUAGUCAUGCAAAUUGACUGUGCUUAAUAUGAUAUAGCUUCCUAUAUAUCAAUAAACUGUAAAUAUAAAUUUUAUUAAAAUUUUUAAAUUUUACUUCUAUUAUUUACCCGCUGCAUCGCGCGGUCUUUACACUAGUUAUAUUAAUUCUACU
rnacentral:lncRNA from 1 species